rnacentral:rRNA from 1 species
AGUGAACGCUGGCGGUAGGCCUAACACAUGCAAGUCGAACGGCAGCACAGUAAGAGCUUGCUCUUACGGGUGGCGAGUGGCGGACGGGUGAGGAAUACAUCGGAAUCUACUUUUUCGUGGGGGAUAACGUAGGGAAACUUACGCUAAUACCGCAUACGACCUACGGGUGAAAGCAGUGGAUCUUCGGACCUUGCGCGAUUGAAUGAGCCGAUGUCGGAUUAGCUAGUUGGCGGGGUAAAGGCCCACCAAGGCGACGAUCCGUAGCUGGUCUGAGAGGAUGAUCAGCCACACUGGAACUGAGACACGGUCCAGACUCCUACGGGAGGCAGCAGUGGGGAAUAUUGGACAAUGGGCGCAAGCCUGAUCCAGCCAUACCGCGUGGGUGAAGAAGGCCUUCGGGUUGUAAAGCCCUUUUGUUGGGAAAGAAAAGCAGCAGGUGAAUACCCCGCUGUUCUGACGGUACCCAAAGAACAAGCACCGGCUAACUUCGUG